GACGAACGCUGGCGGCGUGCCUAAUACAUGCAAGUAGAACGCUGAAGGAGGAGCUUGCUUCUCUGGAUGAGUUGCGAACGGGUGAGUAACGCGUAGGUAACCUGCCUGGUAGCGGGGGAUAACUAUUGGAAACGAUAGCUAAUACCGCAUAAGAGUAGAUGUCGCAUGACAUUUGCUUAAAAGGUGCAAUUGCAUCACUACCAGAUGGACCUGCGUUGUAUUAGCUAGUUGGUGAGGUAACGGCUCACCAAGGCAACGAUACAUAGCCGACCUGAGAGGGUGAUCGGCCACACUGGGACUGAGACACGGCCCAGACUCCUACGGGAGGCAGCAGUAGGGAAUCUUCGGCAAUGGACGGAAGUCUGACCGAGCAACGCCGCGUGAGUGAAGAAGGUUUUCGGAUCGUAAAGCUCUGUUGUAAGAGAAGAACGAGUGUGAGAGUGGAAAGUUCACACUGUGACGGUAUCUGACCAGAAAGGGACGGCUAACUACGUG
rnacentral:rRNA from 1 species